UACAGAGGGGGCGAGCGUUGUUCGGAAUUACUGGGCGUAAAGGGCGCGUAGGCGGCCCGCUAAGUCGAACGUGAAAUCCCCAGGCUCAACCUGGGAACUGCGUCCGAUACUGGCAGGCUUGAAUCCGGGAGAGGGAUGUGGAAUUCCAGGUGUAGCGGUGAAAUGCGUAGAUAUCUGGAGGAAUACCGGUGGCGAAGGCGGCAUCCUGGACCAUUACUGACGCUGAGGCGCGAAAGCUAGGGGAGCAAACGGG
rnacentral:rRNA from 1 species